UACGGAGGGGCUAGCGUUGUCCGAAGUUACUGGGCGUAAAGCGCGCGUAGGCGGGUUGGUAAGUCCGCUGUGAAAGCCCGGAGCUCAACUCCGGAGGGUCGGUGGAUACUGCCAGUCUUGAAGGUGCUAGGGGGAGAUGGAAUUACCGGUGUAGCGGUGAAAUGCGUAGAUAUCGGUAGAACACCAGUGGCGAAGGCGGUCUCCUGGGGCAUUCUUGACGCUGAUGCGCGAAAGCUGGGGGAGCAAACGGG
rnacentral:rRNA from 1 species